CAAACGCACCAGUAAGACAAAUAAACAGUCGCUCCAUGAGCAGGUAAUGCAUGGUUUAACAGGGGAAAGGCUUUUAAGAGGCUGCUGAAGUCAGCUCAAUAUGGAAUACACCAUUUCAGCGAGAGAGUGACCCAGUCAAAAUCAUUAACAUCAAUAUGAAUGAGAUCCUUCCUGCCCACUGCCAUCUGGGCCUCUAACGACACCAGCAGACGACUUUGUUCCACCUGGCCAUGGAGAUGUCAACAACUACUGUAGUUCCAGUACCUGUUCCUGCAAGCUGAAUUGAAAUUAUUAUAAUUAUUUGGGGCUUUAUUUCUGCCAUAUUCUGUGUUAUAUAUUGUCAGUUUCUUUAUAAAGAUUGUUUGUUUACUGUUCAUAAUCACACUGAAAUAUAAACAAUUUUGGCUCCAAUUUAAAUAUAUUUAUACAUCGUUGUUCAGUAUAAUAAUUUGUUCUAGUAGUGGUGACUUAAUGCAAAAAACACCAGCAGUUGCUGUUAAAAGUAUUUUUUUUAAAUAGUGACAAUCUCGUUUGAAACAAUUAAGCUUCAUGGUUGGAGCUCAAUGGAAUUAGAAUAAAACAGAAUGGAGUGGAA